rnacentral:misc_RNA from 1 species
CACCACUCAAGCCCGGCUUGGUAUUGGGCGGCGGGGCUCUCCCGCGCCUUAAUUUCACCGGCUGGACGACCCGUAUCUCAGCGUUGCAGCAUCAAAUUCGCUGGCGAGAGGGGUGGCCCGUGCCGUUAAAAUUUCAAUCAA